UGUACAGCCGGACAACAGGCCAAUGCCCCCGACUCUUCUCCCUGCACAAUGCUCCUGCUCCUGUCCCUCUAUUUCUACCUAACUCCCCUGCCCAAUGGCGGGAGGCCCCAGACACUGCAGGCAUGGUGGGGGCCAGGAACCUCGUUGGCUGGAGCAUGUUUCCUGGUGAUCCUGAGGCAGCGGGGCCAACACCCCAGACAUCUGGAGCCUUGGUGGUCCAGACCAAGACGGAUGCUUCCCUCAGCUACCCACCCAGGCUCUCUCUUCUGGAGCUCAUUUCCGGUCUGAGAAAGAAGGCUCUUAAUUCAACUCCUGAUACCCGAAUGACCUCAGCCUUCAAGUGACCUGGCACAACCCUCCAUGAACAGUUUAUUCAGGCGCUCUUUCCAGACUCAUUUGCUGAACCCCCCCUCCCAAAUCCCCAAGACCCCAUCAAUGCCUGGCACUGUGCCCUGAGGCACUGGGGUUUGAAGAUGAAUGAGUGAGAACCGAGAACCUGCUCACAUGAAGCUCAUAACC
rnacentral:lncRNA from 1 species